rnacentral:rRNA from 1 species
AUUCCUACGGGAGGCAGCAGUGGGGAAUAUUGCGCAAUGGGCGAAAGCCUGACGCAGCGACGCCGCGUGAGGGAUGAAGGCCUUCGGGUUGUAAACCUCUUUCAGCAGGGACGAAGCGAGAGUGACGGUACCUGCAGAAGAAGCACCGGCCAACUACGUGCCAGCAGCCGCGGUAAUACGUAGGGUGCAAGCGUUGUCCGGAAUUAUUGGGCGUAAAGAGCUCGUAGGCGGUCUGUCACGUCGGCUGUGAAAACUCGGGGCUCAACCCCGUGCCUGCAGUCGAUACGGGCAGACUAGAGUGCUGUAGGGGAGACUGGAAUUCCUGGUGUAGCGGUGAAAUGCGCAGAUAUCAGGAGGAACACCGGUGGCGAAGGCGGGUCUCUGGGCAGUAACUGUCGCUGAGGAGUGAAAGCGUGGGGAGCAAACAGGAUUAGAUACCCUGGUAGUCCACGCCGUAAACGGUGGGUGCUAGGUGUAGGUCGUAUUCCACGCGAUCUGUGCCGCAGCUAACGCAUUAAGCACCCCGCCCGGGGAGUACGGCCGCAAGGCUAAAACUCAAAGGAAUUGACGGGGGCCCGCACAAGCAGCGGAGCAUGUGGCUUAAUUCGACGCAACGCGAAGAACCUUACCAAGGCUUGACAUGCAGGGAAAUCUCACAGAGAUGUGAGGUCCGCAAGGGUCCUGCACAGGUGGUGCAUGGUUGUCGUCAGCUCGUGUCGUGAGAUGUUGGGUUAAGUCCCGCAACGAGCGCAACCCUCGUUCUAUGUUGCCAGCGCGUCAUGGCGGGGACUCAUAGGAGACUGCCGGGGUCAACUCGGAGGAAGGUGGGGACGACGUCAAAUCAUCAUGCCCCUUAUGUCUUGGGCUGCACACAUGCUACAAUGGCCGAUACAAAGGGCUGCAAAGCCGCGAGGUGGAGCGAAUCCCAAAAAGUCGGUCUCAGUUCGGAUUGGGGUCUGCAACUCGACCCCAUGAAGUCGGAGUUGCUAGUAAUCGCAGAUCAGCAACGCUGCGGUGAAUACGUACCCGGGCCUUGUACACACCGCC